rnacentral:lncRNA from 1 species
CACACCUGUGUCCCUGGGCAAGUACACCUAGAGGUGGAGAGGCAAACUAGGAGACUGGCCCAAAGGAAAUCAAAAGGAGGAGAGACUUUUUUGGAUAAAGAAGGGGAAGUUGAAGAGGAGAGGAUGAGCAAUCAUUGAUUAGAACUAUACAUAAAGAAGAAGACACCAAUACAGAUGAAGAAAUUGAACAUUCCAGAGAGAGAGGAGCAUGAUCCUAAAGGAAGUAUCCUACAAACACUAAUGCCAGAAAGUCACAAUCCCACCAAAGGGGCAAUUGAUGCUGAUGCCUGCCAGAAGCACUGCUUCAAGUUCCAGUGUUUACCCAUAUUAGCAUCAAGUCUGCCACUAUUCAUUUUGGAGGGAGCUAAUAUCUGCAACAAGGGCACUGGCUUCGUCUGUUGCUACUGAAACCACUGGCACAGUCUACUGCCUCCUACUGUCUCUGCAGGAGUGGCUGGCACCACCACUGCUGAUGUAAAGCAUCCUCAUCCACCUAAGAGAUUGGAAUGAAACAGCCCUUUUGGCUUUUACUCAGUGUCAUUACAGUGCUUCAGGCUAAGACUCAGGCAAGAUUCCAGAUGGGAUGGGACAGAGGACAACCCGAAUUAUAGCACAUAUUCUACGUUCAGAAAACCCCCUCCACUCUCACCAUAGCCAAUUGUUCUUUUAACCAAGCAAAAAAAUAACAUUGAAACGUUAUUUGGGACAUGUGGAAGGAGAAGGGAAGGAGUUUGAUUAUUUGUUUAUAAUUAACUACAUAAACUUUUAACAUAAAACUACAGUUUGAGAUGAGGGUGUUAAUAUAUACAGCUCACCUAAGCAUUAUUACGUUCUGGGGCCAAGGAUGUAAUUGGUAGAUUAUCUAUAGGUGAUGAAACUGAGGCAACAAAACAAAUUAAAAUACAUUACAUAAAUCCACUAAAACUAUCCUUCACUUAUUCGAACUCAGCUUUUAUCUAUUUAAUAAUAUUCAUUGUAAAGGAAUAUAAGUAAUUUACAUUUAAUUUGUUAUAUUGAAUAUCCCUUGUAAUCAUUGUGCUUACAUAAAAUCUACAGGUACUAAUAGUAGUUAGUAUUUAUCUAACACAUACUACUUGCCAAGCACUGUAAUGUAUUUGUGGAUUAUUUUAUUUCAUUCUCACAAACCUUCUAGAUAGCUUCUAUGAUCAGCUCCAUGUUACAGAUGAGGAAACUAAGGCUUAGAAAAAAUAAAUGAUCUUCACAGAUACACAAAGCUGGUAAACAAAGUAGCCAGGAACGAAACUCCAUCAGUUCUUAGUGUCUAAGCUUGUAAUAACCUCGUCUUAAAAUUACUGGACCCUACUUCGGCCUGAGGUGAAGGAGCAGAAAUGAUGAGCUCAUCCUAAGGAGCCGGCCUGGUUGAUAUCCAGACUUCCACUGGCCUACUAUGGUAGAUUAUCUUGUUAUAGAUUUAUGUAUGCACAGGGGACAACUAGAGGGCAUCUGAAAAUUGCCAAGACAACCAGAAGUUGAGAGACCAAAACCUCAGAAAAUAGAGGUACAGAGAGGUACACUAACGUGCUACAAGGGGCUUUUCUCUCUAGAACAUUUGCCUCUUAUAGGGUGAGAGACUGGCAAGCGAGGCAGAGCGCUCUGGAUAGGAGGGAGAGAAGCAACAGAGUUUUUGGCAAACUCACAAGACUAGAAGAAAAAUAAAUGGAGUUUGUGCUCACUUCGGCAGCACAUAUACUGAAAUUGGAACGAUACAGAGAAGAUUAGCAUGUCCCCUGCACAACGAUGACAAGCAAAUUUGUGAGCGUUCCAUAUUUUUCAGUGAGAUACCGUCUCACGUCAGUCAGAAUGACGAUUACUAAAAGUCAAGAAACAACAAACGCUGGCAAGGCUUUGGAGAAAUAGGAACAUUUUUACACUGUUGGUGGGAAUGUAAAUUAGUUCAACCAUUGUGAAAGACAGUGUGGCACUUCUUCAAGGACCUAGAACCAGAAAUACCAUUUGACUCAGCAAUCCCAUUACUGGGUAUAUGUCCAAAGGAAUAUAAAUCAUUCUACUAUAAAGAUACAUGCACACGUAUGUUUAUUGCAGCACUACUUACAAUAGCAAAGACAUGGAACCAACCCAAAUGCCCAUCAGUGAUAGACUGGAUACAGAAAAUGUGGUACAUAUACACCAUGGAAUACUAUGCAGCCAUAAAAAAGAAUGAGAUCAUGUCCUUUGCAGGGCCAUGGAUGAAGCUGGAAGCCAUCAUCCUCAGCAAACUAACACAGGAACAGAAAAACAAACACCACAUGUUCUUGCUCAUAAAUGGGAGCUGAACAAUGAGAACACAUGGACACAGGGAGGGGAGCAACACACACUGGGGCCUGUCGGGGGGUGGGGUGGUUGGGAGGGACAGCUUCAGGACAAAUAGCUAAUGCACGUGGGGCUUAAAACCUAGGUGAUGGUUGAUAGGUACAGCAAACCACCACGGCACACAUAUACCUAUGUAACGAACCUUCACAUUCUGCACAUGUAUCCCAGAACGUAAAGUAAAAUUUAAAAAAAAAAAAAUCAUUGGACCAAAUAAAUAAGUAAAUAAAGGGAGUUUGAGCCUGUCAAGAGAACCAGAACUUUAAUGACCAACAUCUCAGCCCAGAGAGAAGAGAGAAAGUAAAGUGAGCUGGACACUCUGCUAUUUUCCACCAUGAAGAUUUGCUGAAUUCAUCUGCUGUGUGAAGCAACAGCCUAAGUAAUAAGCUAAGCAGAAAGCUACUGAACAGUGGAGCCAAGUUUUCAAGCAGUUUCUUAGUUCUGAGUUUCCACAAAACAGGAGAGGUUCUAGUAAACACAGAUGCUCUUAGUUGAGAUCCCUAACAAGCUAUACUCUAGGCCUAACACAAAAUUUAGAUAGAGACUCAAAAAGAAAAAAGAAAAAAUCUUGCAACCCAAGCAAAAAUCAGUUUAGUCUCAGAUUGGAUCAAGGCAAUCUGUCCUUAAACAGGCUGCUCACCAGAGGCCAGAAUGAAUCCACUCUAUAGGAGAAUAAUAUCAUCCAGAAUUGCUAAAAUUUUUAAUAUACAAUGUCCAGUAAUUUCUCAAACAUAAUGUCCAAAACUCAAUCAAGUAGUAGAGAAAGCAUUACUGACCAAAAAAUAUAAAUUCAGGAAAGGAUGAAGAACAAUGGAAAGAUUAAUAUCUUAGUAAAUAUAAGUUAAUAUUGACUGUACAAAAAGUUAAUAAUAAAGUCUUGUGUGGUAAAAAAAAUAGGAAGAAUUAAGAUGCAUAACAACAAUACAAAGGACUGAAACAGAAAUGGACAUAAACUACUAUUAGGUCAUAACAUUAUCAAGGAAGAAGUUAAACUACUAAUUUAUAUUAAACAGCAUGAAAUCAAGGAGGCAUGUGAUUCUAGGGCUGUGAUUCUCAUUGUAGUCUCAGGACCUUUUUCCACUCUUAAAAAUUAUUGAGGACCCCAAUGAGCUUUUGUUUUGUGAGUUGCAUUUGUUAAUAUUUGUCAUAUUAGAAAUUAAAACUGAGAUGUUUUAAAAAAACAUUUAUUCAUUUGGAAAUAACAGCAUGUUAGGUGCGGUGGUGCAUGUCU